rnacentral:rRNA from 1 species
UACGAAGGGGGCUAGCGUUGCUCGGAAUCACUGGGCGUAAAGGGUGCGUAGGCGGGUCUUUUAAGUCAGGGGUGAAAUCCUGGAGCUCAACUCCAGAACUGCCUUUGAUACUGAAGAUCUUGAGUUCGGGAGAGGUGAGUGGAACUGCGAGUGUAGAGGUGAAAAUUCGUAGAUAUUCGCAAGAACACCAGUGGCGAAGGCGGCUCACUGGCCCGAUACUGACGCUGAGGCACGGAAAGCGUGGGGAGCAAACAGG